rnacentral:rRNA from 1 species
GACGAACGCUGGCGGCGUGCUUAACACAUGCAAGUCGAACGGAAAGGCCCUGCUUUUGUGGGGUGCUCGAGUGGCGAACGGGUGAGUAACACGUGAGUAACCUGCCCUUGACUGUGGGAUAAAUUAAGGAAACUGGGGCUAAUACCGGAUAGGAGCUCCUGAUGCAUGGUGGGGGUUGGAAAGUUUCGGCGGUUGGGGAUGGACUCGCGGCGGAUCAGCUUGUUGGUGGGGUAGUGGCUUACCAAGGCUUUGACGGGUAGCCGGCCUGAGAGGGUGACCGGCCACAUUGGGACUGAGAUACGUCCCAGACUCCUACGGGAGGCAGCAGUGGGGAAUAUUGCACAAUGGGCGGAAGCCUGAUGCAGCAACGCCGCGUGCGGGAUGACGGCCUUCGGGUUGUAAACCGCUUUCGCCUGUGACGAAGCGUGAGUGACGGUAAUGGGUAAAAAAGCACCGGCUAACUACGUG